rnacentral:rRNA from 1 species
CCUACGGGAGGCAGCAGUGGGGAAUAUUGGACAAUGGGCGAAAGCCUGAUCCAGCAAUGCCGCGUGAGUGAUGAAGGCCUUAGGGUUGUAAAGCUCUUUUACCAGGGAUGAUAAUGACAGUACCUGGAGAAUAAGCUCCGGCUAACUCCGUGCCAGCAGCCGCGGUAAUACGGAGGGAGCUAGCGUUGUUCGGAAUUACUGGGCGUAAAGCGUGCGUAGGCGGUGACUCAAGUCAGAGGUGAAAGCCUGGAGCUCAACUCCAGAACUGCCUUUGAAACUAGGUCGCUAGAAUCAUGGAGAGGUGAGUGGAAUUCCGAGUGUAGAGGUGAAAUUCGUAGAUAUUCGGAAGAACACCAGUGGCGAAGGCGGCUCACUGGACAUGUAUUGACGCUGAGGCACGAAAGCGUGGGGAGCAAACAGGAUUAGAUACCCUGGUAGUCCACGCCGUAAACGAUGAUAACUAGCUGCCAGGCUCAUGAGNGUUGGUGGCGCNGCGACGACGAUUAAGUUAGUCCGCCGUGGGAGGUAACGGUCGUCGAAGAGUUAAACGUUACUUAAUAGUUAAGUUAGACGGCGUUGAGACGUUGCCGACGGACGACGACGAGGGAGGAGG